UUGUAGCAAAAUGGCGACUGUCAUUCACAACCCCCUGAAAGCGCUCGGGGACCAAUUCUACAAGGAAGCCAUCGAGCACUGCCGGAGUUACAACUCGCGGCUGUGUGCGGAGCGCAGCGUGCGUCUCCCCUUCCUGGACUCGCAGACGGGGGUGGCCCAGAACAACUGCUACAUCUGGAUGGAGAAGAGGCACCGAGGCCCAGGCCUUGCUCCAGGCCAGCUGUACACAUACCCUGCCCGCUGCUGGCGCAAAAAGAGACGAUUGCACCCGCCUGAGGACCCGAAGCUGCGGCUGCUGGAAAUAAAACCUGAAGUGGAGCUGCCCCUGAAGAAAGAUGGCUUCACCUCGGAAAGCACCACGCUGGAAGCCUUGCUCCGCGGAGAGGGGGUGGAGAAGAAGGUGGAUGCCCGCGAGGAGGAGAGCAUCCAGGAGAUACAGAGGGUUUUGGAAAAUGAUGAGAAUGUAGAAGAAGGGAAUGAAGAAGAGGAUUUAGAAGAGGAUAUUCCCAAACGAAAGAAUAGGACCAGAGGACGGGCUCGCGGCUCUGCGGGUGGCAGGAGGAGGCACGACGCUGCCUCUCAGGAAGACCACGACAAGCCUUACGUCUGUGACAUCUGCGGCAAGCGCUACAAGAACCGACCGGGACUGAGCUACCACUACGCUCACACCCACCUGGCCAGUGAGGAGGGGGACGAAGCCCAAGAUCAGGAGACCCGGUCCCCACCUAACCACAGAAAUGAGAACCACAGACCCCAGAAAGGACCAGAUGGGACAGUCAUUCCCAACAACUACUGUGACUUCUGCUUGGGGGGUUCCAACAUGAACAAGAAGAGCGGGCGGCCUGAAGAGCUGGUGUCCUGUGCAGACUGUGGACGCUCUGCUCAUUUGGGAGGAGAAGGCAGGAAGGAGAAGGAGGCAGCGGCCGCAGCACGCACCACGGAGGACUUAUUCGGUUCCACGUCAGAAAGUGACACCUCAACUUUCCACGGCUUUGAUGAGGACGAUUUGGAAGAGCCUCGCUCCUGUCGAGGACGCCGCAGUGGCCGGGGCUCGCCCACAGCAGAUAAAAAGGGCAGUUGCUAAAGCCCACGGAGAGGACUGGGCGCUUGGCCAUCCCCCUCUGACUCUGGUCAUUGUUCUGGUUCUGAUAUAUAUAUAUAUAUAUAUAUUUUUAAAUGAAAGACGACUUAGUUUUUUUUCCCUUGAUCCUUUUGCUUCUUCCUCCCACCUUCCAUGAGUCCUUUCCCCUCGCCAUCCCUCUGUUUUUGGGUGUGUACAACAGAAGCACAAACUACUGAAAACAAAACAAAAAAAGUCAAGAGAGCAGAGCGAGCGUUCUUCAGAGCGAUGGCACCGUGAUGUGUGAUUUAUGUUCCCUAGAAAUAGGAAGUUAGAUGGUUUCUCUCUUUUUUGGGGGGGUGGGGUGGGGAGGGGAUCUUUUUGACAUGAGCAGAGUUGAUUUCCGCAGUUUUCAUAUUUAUUGGUAAAGAUGAAGAGAAGAGGAACACUAGGUUUGGAAACAAAGAGCCAAUAACAUUAAAAUUAUUAUUUAUAGAUGCUAGCUAUUAUUGGAGUCGGACUUUUUUUUUGUUUUUUAUUCUUUUGAGAGAGUGAGAAAAGGGAAAUCAAAGGCAUCUCAGUCAUACCCUGUUUAGAAGCGAGCUGCUGGGGGGAGUUUCCUCAAUGGGAGAGGAUGGCACCUCCCUGUGCCCCACAGAGCCUGUGGCYCCCCAUGGCAGACCCCCACCCCAUGUCUCCUCCCUUGACCUUUCCAUCCUCCUCUCUGCUUGYGGGGAAAAUGGCAGCAGUCCCAGAGAAGACCAGGCGCCUGGCCUCCCUCCAGCGUCGGCCCUGACCAGCAGCCGCCGCCUGGGCUCCUCCUUGGUUCAGCAGAGCUGCCGUUUCYGUGAUGCUGGCUUUCCCUCACUUUCUUCCUGGUGAAGAGCAACUUCCAAACGCAGGAAUGGAAUAUAAGCAAAAGUCAUGGGCUCGGCAGUGACAAAGCGACCUGAGGCCACCCUCGUGGAAGAAGGACACCUCACAGUAUAUCUCCCUUCCCCUUCCCCCUGUUUAAAACAGUUAACUGCUCAUUGGAUGAUCCAGCCGCCUGUAUUCUUUCUAUUUUUUUUUUAUAGUGCCUGCCAGGCACUUUGUUUUAUGUUUCCAAUAGCACCUCCUGAAACAAACCAAAGCAACACUUGCUCAAGGCCUGGAUGGAGAAGACCCGUUCACCUCAUUGGCCAACCCAACCAUGACCAGUUACAAGGCCCUUCUCAAAAGGGAGCCAUGGCCUAAACCUCCACGGUUGUAAUAUUCCUGCAUGCUCACAUCUGUGAAUACGCCAACAUAGUUGACUCUGUCAACACUCUGGCCUGGGAACUCCAGCAUCCUUCAAGCAAGCCAUUUCUGAAGAAGGUGAAAAGAAGCCGCCACGAUCGAUCAUCAUCUCCUCCUUCUCCUCCUCCUCUUCCUCUUCCCUUGCCCGGCCCCCUCCUGUGCGUGUGUUUCAGCCGACACCAGAGCCUGGAUUGUGGAAAAAUCCUCCAGCACAACUCAGCUCAGUGAAGUCUCAGCAAUGGCCUAAGUUUGUGCAAUAAGAAGAUUUUUUUUUUCUUUUUAAAAAAAAUUCAUCAUAACUUUUUCUUGGAGAGUCUGUGAGAAAGCACCCAGGUCAGACUGGAAUUUGCUCUGCAAUAGAAAUAACUGAACACAAACAAACUGAAAAAAAAAAAAGAGUUAACUAUUUUAUUUAUUUCAAUAUUUAAAAGAAAAAAGUGCCGACAGUGCACAGUAUUUUUGUUUAAAUACGUUCUACAUCAAAAGUUAAAAGCAAUUUUGUGAAGACACGAAAUCAAAAAGAAUAUUUACUGUAAAAUAAAGACUGCCUAUUAACUCUAAGGAAAAUACCCCACAUUUUAAAUAAGAAAAUAAAGAUCAACUCUGCUCUCUCAGGCUUUAAAAAAAAAAAAGCCAUUCAUGUAUGUCUUUAGGUACUUUUAUUUCUGCGAGUUGGAUGUGGUAAGUGAGGAGUGAUCAGUUUCCACCCCCUUUUUCUUCAGAAGUCUGUUGAAAGUGUUGGUGAUGUUAAAUGAUUUUGUGUUAAGGCUUGGCUGAAAUAAUUAGCCACCAUUCAGCAGUUUCCCUGCCCCACUGCCCCUUACCCCAGGCCAGCCCCAUUUACCUGGUGGUGGAGAAACAGCCACCGUCUCCUGCUUAUCAUAGCUGACGAGCGAGGCCUGGUUUAGAAAGGAAUUCCGUUCAGUGAUUGGAUAUUUUCUCUGCAAGUUCAACAGAUUUGAACAGAGACAACUUGGUUUAAAAUAAUGCAGUGAAGGAAAAAAAAAAAACAGCAAGAAACGAAGCAUUAGCUGAGAUGAUAUUAGUUCAGUCACAAUUCCUCAAGAGGGUUGGCCGAAAGAAUCUUCUCCCUGGCUGGCUUCAGGGUCCUGAGAUUCUAGAGUUGUCCCUAAGGGCUAGGAAGGUCGACCCAAAUUGUGGAAACCUCAGUCAGUUGCUUGUGGUGGCUGAGGAGGAAGGCAAGUCUUCUAACAUGUCCUUUAAGGUCCUGUGUGGAAGUGAGCGAUGUGGCCCAUGAAGUGGAAUUCGGCUAGUGUCUGCAGCCUAGCCAAGGAGUCUGGUGGACUGGUAGGCCACUGGAGUCCACUUUAGUCCCCCCACUGGGCUGGUCUUCGACACGUUAACACUCUUGGGUUCCCCUUACUCGUAAACAGAGGCAUGACACCUCCCUACAACCUAACGCUGGAUAUUCUCAUUGGAAAGGUUCUUGGGUCACAGUGUGGCUAGGAUGAUCUCCAACCUAAGAAUCUCUUUUAUCUUUGAAAGAGGAAGGUGGGAAGGCACCGACUUCCUGCCAGUUCAUUCAGGUUCCCCAUCAAGGCCAGUCCCUGGGGUGGGGUGGAUAUCACCCAGAGCGUCUUUGUAUCAUUUGGGAGCCCUUUUCUGUGACAUUUUCUCAGAGAAAAUGUCCCUUGUCAAAAUGCUACUAAUCUGCCCUCCAGCCAACUCCCAAAGUUACCACAUGUGUAGAAUUGUGAUAAAGCUUUGCAUAAUGUAGGGUUUGU